GGAUUAGAUACCCUGGUAGUCCACACCGUAAACGAUGAAUGCCAGUCGUCGGGUAGCAUGCUAUUCGGUGACACACCUAACGGAUUAAGCAUUCCGCCUGGGGAGUACGGUCGCAAGAUUAAAACUCAAAGGAAUUGACGGGGGCUCACACAAGCGGUGGAGCAUGUGGCUUAAUUCGAAGCAACGCGAAGAACCUUACCCAGGUUUGACAUGCUUGGAUGCUAUCCGGGGAUAACUCGGUGCGCUGCCCUUCGGGGUGAAACUUGCACAGGUGUUGCAUGGCCGUCGUCAGCUCGUGCCG
rnacentral:rRNA from 1 species